CGCGAAUUCGCCCUUGUGCCAGCAGCCGCGGUAAUACGUAGGGUGCGAGCGUUGUCCGGAAUUACUGGGCGUAAAGAGCUCGUAGGUGGUUUGUCGCGUUGUUCGUGAAAACUCACAGCUUAACUGUGGGCGUGCGGGCGAUACGGGCAGACUAGAGUACUGCAGGGGAGACUGGAAUUCCUGGUGUAGCGGUGGAAUGCGCAGAUAUCAGGAGGAACACCGGUGGCGAAGGCGGGUCUCUGGGCAGUAACUGACGCUGAGGAGCGAAAGCGUGGGGAGCGAACAGGAUUAGAUACCCUGGUAGUCCACGCCGUAAACGGUGGGUACUAGGUGUGGGUUCCUUCCUUGGGAUCCGUGCCGUAGCUAACGCAUUAAGUACCCCGCCUGGGGAGUACGGCCGCAAGGCUAAAACUCAAAGGAAUUGACGGGGGCCCGCACAAGCGGCGGAGCAUGUGGAUUAAUUCGAUGCAACGCGAAGAACCUUACCUGGGUUUGACAUGCACAGGACGCCGGCAGAGAUGUCGGUUGCCCUUGUGGCCUGU
rnacentral:rRNA from 1 species